rnacentral:lncRNA from 1 species
AAAGAAGCUUCUCAUCGAACAGGAAACUGUUAUUCCUAACUGAAGACUACUAAAUAGCACUGUAAAUGCUAUUCCUAGACUUAUAACGUGUGUAUAUAAGGAAGCUCGUAUCAUUUCUCAUAUUAAUAGUGCAAUAUAACAUGAUUAGAUAAAGUAGAAUGGCAUAACAAUCAAAUUAUUAGAAUUGAUCUAGCUGCUCAAAAAGCUUGCUUGGAAAGCUUGAGCAAUGUUCUAACUGUCAUUAUGUCAACUUCCA